rnacentral:rRNA from 1 species
UACGAAGGGGGCUAGCGUUGCUCGGAUUGACUGGGCGUAAAGAGCUCGUAGGCGGCUCGGUAAGUCGGGUGUGAAACCUCCAGGCUCAACCUGGAGACGCCACCUGAUACUGCUGUGGCUAGAGUCCGGUAGGGGAGUGUGGAACUCCUGGUGUAGCGGUGAAAUGCGCAGAUAUCAGGAAGAACACCAGCGGCGAAGGCGGCUACCUGGACAAUUGCUGACGCUCAGGCACGAAAGCGUGGGGAGCAAAAGGG